rnacentral:misc_RNA from 1 species
AACGCAUAUUGCGGUCGAGGCUUCGGCUGAGACCAUGUCUGCCUCAGCGUCGGUGUGAACCCCUCAUCCCUCCCGGGAUGGACCUGAUCUUCCCAUUGCUUUAGUCCAUGGGUUGAUUGAAAUGAGGAGGCUACGGCUUGGACCUGUAUGGCAACAGCAAGGUAGGUAGCUCGUCUACUCCAGCUGGUGCUUUGGGUACUAGCCAGAGCCCGCAGGAAAUAUCACCAUUUUCGACCUGAGAUCAGGCAAGGCUACCCGCUGAACUUAA